rnacentral:rRNA from 1 species
GACGAACGCUGGCGGCGUGCUUAACACAUGCAAGUCGAACGGAAAGGCCCUGCUUUUGUGGGGUGCUCGAGUGGCGAACGGGUGAGUAACACGUGAGUAACCUGCCCUUGACUUUGGGAUAACUUCAGGAAACUGGGGCUAAUACCGGAUAGGAGCUCCUGCUGCAUGGUGGGGGUUGGAAAGUUUCGGCGGUUGGGGAUGGACUCGCGGCUUAUCAGCUUGUUGGUGGGGUAGUGGCUUACCAAGGCUUUGACGGGUAGCCGGCCUGAGAGGGUGACCGGCCACAUUGGGACUGAGAUACGGCCCAGACUCCUACGGGAGGCAGCAGUGGGGAAUAUUGCACAAGGGGCGGAAGCCUGAUGCAGCAACGCGCGUGCGGGAUGACGGCCUUCGGGUUGUAAACCGCUUUCGCCUGUGACGAAGCGUGAGUGACGGUAAUGGGUAAAGAAGCACCGGCUAACUACGUG